GGGGCCAUGGCUCAGUGGUAGAGCAUCUGCUUUACAUGCAGAAGGUCCCAGGUUCAAUCCCCGGCAUUUCCAGUUAGGUCUCA